UACGUAGGGGGCAAGCGUUGUCCGGAUUUAUUGGGCGUAAAGAGCGUGUAGGCGGCCAGGGAGGUCCGUUGUGAAAACUCGAGGCUCAACCUCGAGACGCCGAUGGAAACCCCCUGGCUAGAGUCCGGAAGAGGCGAGUGGAAUUCCUGGUGUAGCGGUGAAAUGCGCAGAUAUCAGGAGGAACACCAAUGGCGAAGGCAGCUCGCUGGGACGGUACUGACGCUGAGACGCGAAAGCGUGGGGAGCAAACAGG
rnacentral:rRNA from 1 species